UACGUAGGGUGCGAGCGUUAAUCGGAAUUACUGGGCGUAAAGUGUGCGCAGGCGGCCGCGCAAGUCGAGUGUGAAAGCCCCCGAGCUUAACUUGGGAAUUGCGCUCGAAACUACGUGGCUGGAGUGUGGCAGAGGAAGGUGGAAUUCCACGUGUAGCGGUGAAAUGCGUAGAGAUGUGGAGGAACACCAAUGGCGAAGGCAGCCUUCUGGGCCAACACUGACGCUCAUGCACGAAAGCGUGGGGAGCAAACAGG
rnacentral:rRNA from 1 species